CAAGUGCUGUCACCUCUACGGCAGUUGCUUGCAAAUCAAAAAUGGAUAGUUUUAUCCAACUCCUAAAUCUACGAUAUCACGAGCUGAAUUUGAGUUAUCUGGUUUAGGAAUACCUAAUUAUUGGUUCGUGCACUGGCUGCACCAUUAAUGUUAACAUUGUGAAUAAUAAAUAAAAUUAGGUAGUGUUAAAUUUUCUCACAAUUUGAAAGCCUUAAUUAUUGUCAUACAUUAAUAAAUGAAUGAUUUCUUGGAUUUUUGCUUGAUUGAGGAACAAAAAGGUUAAGAUAUAAAAAUCCCAUUUAGUUUACAUGCAGUGUGCGAAGUAAGUAUUUCGCACACUACUUCGCGCACGGUGUCAUGGUAACGAAGGAAAAUGAAAAAAAGGGUCACUUCGCAUAUUGUUGUCAAUGCGCGAACCUUGUCAUUUUUUGAC